rnacentral:rRNA from 1 species
GAUGAACGCUGGCGGCGUGCCUAAUACAUGCAAGUCGAGCGAAUGGAUUAAGAGCUUGCUCUUAUGAAGUUAGCGGCGGACGGGUGAGUAACACGUGGGUAACCUGCCCAUAAGACUGGGAUAACUCCGGGAAACCGGGGCUAAUACCGGAUAAUAUUUUGAACCGCAUGGUUCGAAAUUGAAAGGCGGCUUCGGCUGUCACUUAUGGAUGGACCCGCGUCGCAUUAGCUAGUUGGUGAGGUAACGGCUCACCAAGGCAACGAUGCGUAGCCGACCUGAGAGGGUGAUCGGCCACACUGGGACUGAGACACGGCCCAGACUCCUACGGGAGGCAGCAGUAGGGAAUCUUCCGCAAUGGACGAAAGUCUGACGGAGCAACGCCGCGUGAGUGAUGAAGGCUUUCGGGUCGUAAAACUCUGUUGUUAGGGAAGAACAAGUGCUAGUUGAAUAAGCUGGCACCUUGACGGUACCUAACCAGAAAGCCACGGCUAACUACGUGCCAGCAGCCGC